rnacentral:rRNA from 1 species
AGCGUACACGGUGGAUGCCCUGGCAGUCAGAGGCGAUGAAGGACGUGCUAAUCUGCGAUAAGCGUCGGUAAGGUGAUAUGAACCGUUAUAACCGGCGAUUUCCGAAUGGGGAAACCCAGUGUGAUUCGUCACACUAUCAUUAACUGAAUCCAUAGGUUAAUGAGGCGAACCGGGGGAACUGAAACAUCUAAGUACCCCGAGGAAAAGAAAUCAACCGAGAUUCCCCCAGUAGCGGCGAGCGAACGGGGAGCAGCCCAGAGCCUGAAUCAGUGUGUGUGUUAGUGGAAGCGUCUGGAAAGGCGCGCGAUACAGGGUGACAGCCCCGUACACAAAAAUGCACAUGCUGUGAGCUCGAUGAGUAGGGCGGGACACGUGGUAUCCUGUCUGAAUAUGGGGGGACCAUCCUCCAAGGCUAAAUACUCCUGACUGACCGAUAGUGAACCAGUACCGUGAGGGAAAGGCGAAAAGAACCCCGGCGAGGGGAGUGAAAAAGAACCUGAAACCGUGUACGUACAAGCAGUGGGAGCACAGAGCAAUCUGUGUGACUGCGUACCUUUUGUAUAAUGGGUCAGCGACUUAUAUUCUGUAGCAAGGUUAACCGAAUAGGGGAGCCGAAGGGAAACCGAGUCUUAACUGGGCGUUAAGUUGCAGGGUAUAGACCCGAAACCCGGUGAUCUAGCCAUGGGCAGGUUGAAGGUUGGGUAACACUAACUGGAGGACCGAACCGACUAAUGUUGAAAAAUUAGCGGAUGACUUGUGGCUGGGGGUGAAAGGCCAAUCAAACCGGGAGAUAGCUGGUUCUCCCCGAAAGCUAUUUAGGUAGCGCCUCGUGAAUUCAUCUCCGGGGGUAGAGCACUGUUUCGGCAAGGGGGUCAUCCCGACUUACCAACCCGAUGCAAACUACGAAUACCGGAGAAUGUUAUCACGGGAGACACACGGCGGGUGCUAACGUCCGUCGUGAAGAGGGAAACAACCCAGACCGCCAGCUAAGGUCCCAAAGUCAUGGUUAAGUGGGAAACGAUGUGGGAAGGCCCAGACAGCCAGGAUGUUGGCUUAGAAGCAGCCAUCAUUUAAAGAAAGCGUAAUAGCUCACUGGUCGAGUCGGCCUGCGCGGAAGAUGUAACGGGGCUAAACCAUGCACCGAAGCUGCGGCAGCGACGCUUAUGCGUUGUUGGGUAGGGGAGCGUUCUGUAAGCCUGUGAAGGUGUACUGUGAGGUAUGCUGGAGGUAUCAGAAGUGCGAAUGCUGACAUAAGUAACGAUAAAGCGGGUGAAAAGCCCGCUCGCCGGAAGACCAAGGGUUCCUGUCCAACGUUAAUCGGGGCAGGGUGAGUCGACCCCUAAGGCGAGGCCGAAAGGCGUAGUCGAUGGGAAACAGGUUAAUAUUCCUGUACUUGGUGUUACUGCGAAGGGGGGACGGAGAAGGCUAUGUUGGCCGGGCGACGGUUGUCCCGGUUUAAGCGUGUAGGCUGGUUUUCCAGGCAAAUCCGGAAAAUCAAGGCUGAGGCGUGAUGACGAGGCACUACGGUGCUGAAGCAACAAAUGCCCUGCUUCCAGGAAAAGCCUCUAAGCAUCAGGUAACAUCAAAUCGUACCCCAAACCGACACAGGUGGUCAGGUAGAGAAUACCAAGGCGCUUGAGAGAACUCGGGUGAAGGAACUAGGCAAAAUGGUGCCGUAACUUCGGGAGAAGGCACGCUGAUAUGUAGGUGAAGUCCCUCGCGGAUGGAGCUGAAAUCAGUCGAAGAUACCAGCUGGCUGCAACUGUUUAUUAAAAACACAGCACUGUGCAAACACGAAAGUGGACGUAUACGGUGUGACGCCUGCCCGGUGCCGGAAGGUUAAUUGAUGGGGUCAGCGCAAGCGAAGCUCUUGAUCGAAGCCCCGGUAAACGGCGGCCGUAACUAUAACGGUCCUAAGGUAGCGAAAUUCCUUGUCGGGUAAGUUCCGACCUGCACGAAUGGCGUAAUGAUGGCCAGGCUGUCUCCACCCGAGACUCAGUGAAAUUGAACUCGCUGUGAAGAUGCAGUGUACCCGCGGCAAGACGGAAAGACCCCGUGAACCUUUACUAUAGCUUGACACUGAACAUUGAGCCUUGAUGUGUAGGAUAGGUGGGAGGCUUUGAAGUGUGGACGCCAGUCUGCAUGGAGCCGACCUUGAAAUACCACCCUUUAAUGUUUGAUGUUCUAACGUUGACCCGUGAUCCGGGUUGCGGACAGUGUCUGGUGGGUAGUUUGACUGGGGCGGUCUCCUCCUAAAGAGUAACGGAGGAGCACGAAGGUUGGCUAAUCCUGGUCGGACAUCAGGAGGUUAGUGCAAUGGCAUAAGCCAGCUUGACUGCGAGCGUGACGGCGCGAGCAGGUGCGAAAGCAGGUCAUAGUGAUCCGGUGGUUCUGAAUGGAAGGGCCAUCGCUCAACGGAUAAAAGGUACUCCGGGGAUAACAGGCUGAUACCGCCCAAGAGUUCAUAUCGACGGCGGUGUUUGGCACCUCGAUGUCGGCUCAUCUCAUCCUGGGGCUGUAGCCGGUCCCAAGGGUAUGGCUGUUCGCCAUUUAAAGAGGUACGUGAGCUGGGUUUAAAACGUCGUGAGACAGUUUGGUCCCUAUCUGCCGUGGGCGUUGGAAGAUUGACGGGGGCUGCUCCUAGUACGAGAGGACCGGAGUGGACGCACCUCUGGUGUACCGGUUGUCACGCCAGUGGCAUCGCCGGGUAGCUAUGUGCGGAAAAGAUAACCGCUGAAAGCAUCUAAGCGGGAAACUUGCCUGAAGAUAAGUCUUCCCUGGGGUUUAACCCCACUGAAGGGUCGUUUGA